UGGACUGAAAAUGGCAACCGCCAAGGAGGAGCCAAAUGGGAAUCGGGUGAGGGAGAAAAUUCUCUCCAUAUUCAAAGCAGUCGAAUCUGACGAAGGCGAAUUCCAUCGGUAUCGGAAUUGACUGAUUCCAUUCGAUUCUGUUUUGCCUGGAAGAUUACGGCAUUUCGAAACUCAGUCAACAGACGUGAAGCCAGGCAAACCUACGGAUGCAUGAUUCUAGGAAUCUGAAGAAGGCGAUUUCUCCGGUCUAGAUUAUGUUACAGUCCUGCAAGAUCGUGUGAUUUCGGAAUCUAUCAAAAGUCAUCAGAUGCGUAUAAACUGGUUCAGAGAUGAAUCGAACAAAAUUACAGAGAAUACAAACUCCCUUUAGACGCCCAAGAAGAAGAAGAAGCAACAAGCUUUGCCUAUAUUGAUCUUUGGGUCGACGGAAUCACAAGAAGCAACCUAGCUAGCUAUCUCCGACAAGUUGUCCAGGUAAUUAAUAGUUUUUCUUUACGAUUAAUGACAUAGAUUAUAUGUUUGGUGAUUUGAUAUGAAUUAAGAAUUUGGUGAAGAUAUUUUAUAUUGAUUGUGUUUGUUGUGACGAAUGAUUAUUAGAUACUAUGAUUAGAUGAAGUUUUAAAUGAGAUAGAAUA